CGCCUUAUACUCCUACGGGAGGCAGCAGUGGGGAAUAUUGGACAAUGGGCGAAAGCCUGAUCCAGCAAUGCCGCGUGAGUGAUGGGGGCCUUAGGGUUGUAAAGCUCUUUUACCCGGGAUGAUAAUGACAGUACCGGGAGAAUAAGCUCCGGCUAACUCCGUGCCAGCAGCCGCGGUAAUACGGAGGGAGCUAGCGUUAUUCGGAAUUACUGGGCGUAAAGCGCACGUAGGCGGCUUUGUAAGUAAGAGGUGAAAGCCCAGAGCUCAACUCUGGAAUUGCCUUUUAGACUGCAUCGCUUGAAUCAUGGAGAGGUCAGUGGAAUUCCGAGUGUAGAGGUGAAAUUCGUAGAUAUUCGGAAGAACUCCAGUGGCGAAGGCGGCUGACUGGACAUGUAUUGACGCUGAGGUGCGAAAGCGUGGGGAGCAAACAGGAUUAGAAACCCUAGUAGUCCACGUACCA
rnacentral:rRNA from 1 species